rnacentral:rRNA from 1 species
GACGAACGCUGGCGGCGUGCCUAACACAUGCAAGUCGAACGGAGUAAGUAGCAAUACUUACUUAGUGGCGAACGGGUGAGUAACGCGUAGACAACCUGCCUCUAAAUUGGGGACAACACCGCGAAAGUGGUGCUAAUACCGAAUGUGGUAACUUGGUCGCAUGACUGAGUUAAGAAAGAUGGCCUCUACCUGUAAGCUAUCGAUUAGAGAUGGGUCUGCGUCUGAUUAGCUAGUUGGUGAGGUAAUGGCUCACCAAGGCGACGAUCAGUAGCCGGUCUGAGAGGAUGAACGGCCACAAUGGGACUGAGACACGGCCCAGAGUCCUACAGGAGGCAGCAGUGGGGAAUCUUCCGAAAUGGACGAAAGUCUGACGGAGCAACGCCGCGGGAGUGAAGAAGGUUUUCGGAUCGUAAAGCUCUGUCGUUUGGGACGAACGUAUCUUGUGUGAAUAAUGCAAGGUAAUGACGGUACCAAAGGAGGAAGCCACGGCUAACUACGUGCCAGCCGCCGCCGUAA